rnacentral:tRNA from 1 species
UGUGGCAUAGUACAACGGCUAGUACAAACGACUGAUAAUCGUUAAAUGAUGGUUCGAUUCCAUCUGCUACAA